rnacentral:lncRNA from 1 species
GGAAGCCUCCACCUCCUUCCGAUUCAGACCCAGGCCAACGCCUGUGCCCCGGGCCUACUUGGUCCCUGAGAACUUCCGAGAGAGGAACCUGCAGCUCAUCCAGUCCAUCAGGGACUUCCUGCAGAGCGAUGACGCCCGCUUCAGCAAGUUCAAGAGCUACUCGGGGGAGUUCAGACAGGGCGCGAUCUCUGCAGCCCAGUAUUAUAAGAGUUGCCGGGACCUGCUGGGGGAGAACUUCGAGAAGAUCUUCAACGAGUUGCUGGUGCUGCUGCCUGAUACGGCCAAGCAGCAGGAGCUGCUGUUGGCCCACACGGACUUCCGGGGCCGCGAGAAGCCUCCCGGCACGAAGGCCAAGAAGAACAGGAAGAGCGCGUGGCAGGCCAGCACCCGGCAGGUGGGCCUAGACUGCUGCGUGUGCCCCACUUGCCAGCAGGUGCUGGCGCACGGUGAUGUGGGCAGCCACCAGGCACUGCACGCCGCCCGGGACGAUGACUUCCCCUCCCUGCAGGCCCUCGCCAGGAUCCUCACAUAGCUCCGAUGUAGCUCCCGCCAGUGCAGGCAGGAGCCACCGCACCCACAAGCCUCCUUUCUCCCCGUCCCCACCCCCAGGCAGACAGUGAGGCCACCUGCUCAGGCCUCUCAGCUGGCCGGCUCUCCGGGGAUCACCGGGAAGGCCCGCCACGACUUGCCGGCACACCCUCUUGGGGGAUCCCUCUGGAGGCCUCCUGGAAACUAGAGAGACCCCUGCCACAGCAGCAGGCUGCUCUGGGUUUACGUUCUCAGGCCCUGGAGGGCGCCGGGGAGGGAAGGGGCAGGUGCCGGGACCUGUGUGCGCUGUCAGGGCUGGUGGCCACGGUGGCCCCUUCCCGGAGCCCCUGAGCCCAAGGGCCGCAGCACCGCGGUCCCUGAGCUAGGCCCACGGGUGCUGGAGUCAGAUGUUGAGCGUGUUGUGUAAACACUUGGCUGUUUGGUGACUAAAGAACGUUCAGGAUUAAAAGACACAAAAUUGUGCUACUUGAAGUUGAAUCUUUUUAUGAGACUAGCUGAAUCUGGGAUCUCCAAUUGCCUCUGAACUUUUAUAAGACAGUUUAUCUUCAAAUAAAUUUAUUUUGCAAUAAUGCA